AACAUGCAUAUACAUUAAUCGUCAUAUACAUGUAUAACAAUUUCAUGACGAGUGAUAAAAAAAAAAUGGAAAGAUGAAAAUUUAUAAAAAACCGAAGCUAGUGGAUAUCUGACUUUGAAAAUUGUGCCCACUUGAAAAUGAUCGGAAGGGCGAGGGGGGAGGGACCUCGGAAACAGCCGACUGCAUCGAUUUUCCAUGGAAUGCCCUAUGUGCCUGGUCAAUUGUAAGCAGAUGCAUCGCUCGAUAGAACCCAGACAAGGAGGAUGAUGAUACGGUAAUGAGGAUGAGGAUGGAAAAACGGAGAGUGCAAGAUGAGCGGAAAUGAAACGGAUAGCGAAACUUACGCUUAAAAAUCGAUUAUCAUGAAAUUGUAUUCGGCAAUGUUGGGCAAUACUGGGCAACAUUGGACAACGUUGAGUCGACUCAGUUUGGUAAAAAAUUUAAUACGACGACCAAGCAGAGAAGAAAAAAAAAAUAACACGAAAAGUGCUGAAAGAUUGAAGCGUCUCUAAUGGACUAAAUUAUAUUUGAAUA